UAGGGAAUCUUCCACAAUGGACGCAAGUCUGAUGGAGCAACGCCGCGUGAGUGAAGAAGGUUUUCGGAUCGUAAAGCUCUGUUGUUGGUGAAGAAGGAUAGAGGUAGUAACUGGCCUUUAUUUGACGGUAAUCAACCAGAAAGUCACGGCUAACUACGUGCCAGCAGCCGCGGUAAUACGUAGGUGGCAAGCGUUGUCCGGAUUUAUUGGGCGUAAAGCGAGCGCAGGCGGAAGAAUAAGUCUGAUGUGAAAGCCCUCGGCUUAACCGAGGAACUGCAUCGGAAACUGUUUGUCUUGAGUGCAGAAGAGGAGAGUGGAACUCCAUGUGUAGCGGUGGAAUGCGUAGAUAUAUGGAAGAACACCAGUGGCGAAGGCGACUCUCUGGUCUGCAACUGACGCUGAGGCUCGAAAGCAUGGGUAGCGAACAGG
rnacentral:rRNA from 1 species